UAGAGUUUGAUCCUGGCUCAGAUUGAACGCUGGCGGCAUGCCUAACACAUGCAAGUCGAACGGCAGCGCGGGCUUCGGCCUGGCGGCGAGUGGCGGACGGGUGAGGAAUACAUAGGAAUCUGCCCAGUCGUGGGGGAUAACCCGGGGAAACCCGGACUAAUACCGCAUACGACGGUGACGUGAAAGCCGGGGACCUUCGGGCCUGGCGCGAUUGGAUGAGCCUAUGUCGGAUUAGCUAGUUGGCGGGGUAAAGGCCCACCAAGGCGACGAUCCGUAGCUGGUCUGAGAGGAUGAUCAGCCACACUGGGACUGAGACACGGCCCAGACUCCUACGGGAGGCAGCAGUGGGGAAUAUUGGACAAUGGGCGCAAGCCUGAUCCAGCAAUGCCGCGUGGGUGAAGAAGGCCUUCGGGUUGUAAAGCCCUUUUGUACGGGAAGAAAUCAUCCGGGUUAAUACCCUGGGUGGAUGACGGUACCGUAAGAAUAAGCACCGGCUAACUUCGUGCCAGCAGCCGCGGUAAUACGAAGGGUGCAAGCGUUAAUCGGAAUUACUGGGCGUAAAGCGUGCGUAGGUGUUGUUCAGUCUGUCGUGAAGCCUGGCUCACCUGGGAUGGCGAUGGAACUGGCGACUGGAUGCGUAAAGA
rnacentral:rRNA from 1 species